rnacentral:rRNA from 1 species
AAUAGAUACCCGGGUAGUCCACGCCGUAAACGAUGAGUGCUAAGUGUUAGAGGGUUUCCGCCCUUUAGUGCUGCAGCUAACGCAUUAAGCACUCCGCCUGGGGAGUACGGCCGCAAGGCUGAAACUCAAAGGAAUUGACGGGGGCCCGCACAAGCGGUGGAGCAUGUGGUUUAAUUCGAAGCAACGCGAAGAACCUUACCAGGUCUUGACAUCCUCUGACAACCCUAGAGAUAGGGCUUUCCCCUUCGGGGGACAGAGUGACAGGUGGUGCAUGGUUGUCGUCAGCUCGUGUCGUGAGAUGUUGGGUUAAGUCCCGCAACGAGCGCAACCCUUGAUCUUAGUUGCCAGCAUUCAGUUGGGCACUCUAAGGUGACUGCCGGUGACAAACCGGAGGAAGGUGGGGAUGGACGUCAAAUCAUCAUGCCCCUUAUGACCUGGGCUACACACGUGCUACAAUGGAUGGUACAAAGGGCUGCAAACCUGCGAAGGUAAGCGAAUCCCAUAAAGCCAUUCUCAGUUCGGAUUGCAGG